rnacentral:rRNA from 1 species
UACGGAGGGAGCUAGCGUUGUUCGGAAUUACUGGGCGUAAAGCGCGCGUAGGCGGCUUUUUAAGACAGGGGUGAAAUCCCGGGGCUCAACCCCGGAACUGCCCUUGAAACAGGAUGGCUAGAAUACUGGAGAGGUGAGUGGAAUUCCGAGUGUAGAGGUGAAAUUCGUAGAUAUUCGGAAGAACACCAGUGGCGAAGGCGACUCACUGGACAGUUAUUGACGCUGAGGUGCGAAAGCGUGGGGAGCAUACGGG